rnacentral:rRNA from 1 species
GUCCACGCCCUAAACGAUGUCAACUGGUUGUUGGGAAUUCACUUUCUCAGUAACGAAGCUAACGCGUGAAGUUGACCGCCUGGGGAGUACGGCCGCAAGGUUGAAACUCAAAGGAAUUGACGGGACCCGCACAAGCGGUGGAUGAUGUGGUUUAAUUCGAUGCAACGCGAAAACCUUACCCACCUUUGACAUGUACGGAAUCCUUUAGAGAUAGAGGAGUGCUCGAAAGAGAGCCGUAACACAGGUGCUGCAUGGCUGUCGU